CCUACGGGAGGCAGCAGUCGGGAAUCUUGCGCAAUGGAGGAAACUCUGACGCAGUGACGCCGCGUGCAGGAAGAAGGUUUUCGGAUUGUAAACUGCUUUAGACAGGGAAGAAACAAGACAGUAGCUGUUAAAUAAGCUCCGGCUAACUACGUGCCAGCAGCCGCGGUAAUACGUAGGGAGCAAGCGUUAUCCGGAUUUAUUGGGAGUACAGGGUGCGUAGACGGGAAGUCAAGUCUGUUGUGAAAUCCCUCGGCUUAACUGAGGAACUGCAACCAAAACUAACUUUCUUGAGUGCUGGAGAGGAGAGUGGAAUUCCAAGUGUAGCGGUGAAAUGCGUAGAUAUUAGGAGGAACACCAGUGGCGAAGGCGACUCUCUGGUCUGUAACUGACGUUGAGGCACGAAAGUGUGGGGAGCAAACAGGAUUAGAUACCCUUGUAGUC
rnacentral:rRNA from 1 species